AUCGAACGCUGGCGGCAGGCCUAACACAUGCAAGUCGAGCGCCGCGGGGGACGGGUGAGUACUGCCUAGGAAUCUGCCCGGUAGUGGGCGAUCACGACCGGGAACGGGCGCUUUUAACGCAUACUAGAAGAUGAGUCUAGGUCGGAUGAGCUAGUUGGUGGGGUAAAGGCCUACCAAGGCGACGAUCCGUCACUGGUCUGAGAGGAUGAUCAGUCACACUGGAACUGAGACACGGUCCAGACUCCUACGGUAGGCAGCAGUGGGGAAUAUUGGACAAUGGGCGAAAGCCUGAUCGAGCCAUGCCGCGUGUGUGAAGAAGGUCUUCGGAUUGUAAAGCACUGUAAGUUGGGAGGCGUUACCAACAGAAUAAGCACCGGCUAACUUCGUGCCAGCAGCCGCGGUAAUAC
rnacentral:rRNA from 1 species